rnacentral:rRNA from 1 species
CAGUAGCCGCGGGAAUACAGAGGUCCCGAGCGUUGUUCGGAUUCACUGGGCGUAAAGGGUGUGUAGGAGGUUUGGUAAGUCAGGUGUGAAAUCCCGCAGCUCAACUGCGGAACUGCAUUCGAUACUGCCGAACUAGAGGCUUGGAGGGGGAAGCGGAAUUCUUGGUGUAGCGGUGAAAUGCGUAGAUAUCAAGAGGAACACCGGUGACGAAGGCGGCUUCCUGGACAAGUCCUGACUCUGAAACACGAAAGCCAGGGGAGCGAAUGGGAUUAGAUACCCCCGUAGUCCCUGUCUCUUAUAC